UACGUAGGUGGCAAGCGUUAUCCGGAAUUACUGGGCGUAAAGCGCACGCAGGUGGCUGCUUAAGUCUGACGUGAAAGCUCCUGGCUUAACUGGGAGAGGUCGUUGGCAACUGGGCGGCUUGAGGCGAGGAGAGGGGCGUAGAAUUCCCGGUGUAGUGGUGGAAUGCGUAGAUAUCGGGGGGAAUACCAGAGGCGCAAGCGGCGCCCUGGCCUGUGCCUGACACUCAUGUGCGAAAGCGUGGGGAGCGAACGGG
rnacentral:rRNA from 1 species